ACUUUACCGAAAGAACCAAAGAACAUGCUGAACUUCUUUCGCACGCCGCACGUAGCCAACCGCGCUAAUCUUUGCUACGGGAGGGAAGGAAGGGGCAGUUGCUAUAGCCGCUUCAGCGGCUUCACGCAAGACAGGCAUUGGCCGCAUGAAAUGAAGCACAGACAGGCAGCCAGCCAUGAAAAGCGCAGUGGGGGUUGGGGGGGGGGGAGCGUGCACACGCAUCCACGUGUGCACGCGCACGCAUCCACGUGUGCACGCACGCACGCGCGCACGCGCGCACGCACGCGCGCCACCUGUCACGGGCGACAGGGCACUUUAUGACGGAGCGUCUUAAUGGCCUUGCACUGUACACGCAAGCCACCAGUUCUACUUUUACGGUGGACAAGUUAAAUACACCGUGGGGUUCCUCCCGUGACGAGCGGCGGUGGUUCGUGCAACUCCACGGUGUGAGCGCAGGUUCUGCCUCUGGGUCCCUCCAGUCCAUGAGCCGGUGUCCUACCGCAGAGCUGGUCAAAUUCCUCAUGGCAGGUGGUAACUAAGGGUGGCAAUUAAAUGGUGACUAAAUAAUAAUUUUAAAAAAAAUAUUUAGUUGCAUUUACUCUUAACGGUGUCGAUGUCUCAUUUGACAUCUUGCCACUGUGCCUCCAAUUCCGAAUUUUGGUGUUUUUUUCCAGAUUGACUUGGGAACCCCAUGGGUUGGAGUUUGAGAAUUGCUCUAUUGAGAUAAUCCCUAUGUCACGUGAGGAACGCUUCUGCAAGACUGAGCACAGCAGCAUUGGCUUAUUUUUUUUAAAAAUAUGACUCAGGGAUUAAUUCGGUUGCCAUGGUGAGGAGUAAGUGUUGAGGGGUGACAUGAUAACCCAGGCACUGCACCCGAAGCUGCUGAUAAUCAGGUUCGACUGCAGACUUUGAAUUAGAAAAUUCAAACAACCUCUGUUGAUCCUGACAGCCUCCGAUGCUUUGGGUCUAAUCUGUUCGGAAAUGACAACCCCCAUGUGUUUAUUUGCAGAGCUGAAGAAGUCGGGUUGCCUCCUGUCCUGGUUUUACCAGGAUCAUCCUCGUGUUGCAAUAGCCAAUGCAAAUUGUAGGUUGCAACCCUACGGAGGAGGCACACGGUUGUGGAGUGAAUUGCACGCGAAGCUGCUGCACUCCCAAGAGCAGCCUCGGCAAAGAGUACUGGUGAGCAACACACCACCCUUAUUAAGGCUUUCGUUUGAUUCGGCACGAAUGAUUUUCCGAUGUUAGUGAUGGUGAUACAAGUGUGGGUGGAGCUGUAACGUAAUGAAUAGUGCACUCUGCUUUAAACCCUGGAGUUCGAUUCCUGGCCACGGCUAACUUCAGUGGCGAGUGAUAUAUCUUGCGUGAUGAACCCCAUCUUUCACAGACCCCUGCUGACCAGCGUGGUGAAGUAUGGUCAGACGACUCCCAUGAUCGACAUGGCAUUGACGCAGCAGUUGAUUUGCAAGGGUCUAUCAGUUAACAUUUACUUUUAUUAAUAAGUAUAGAUUGAUUCCAUAUUUCUUCUUGGAGAAGGACCAUUGCCUAAAACGUUAGCUCAACAUUUAAAGUGGCCAACAGGUGGCAGUACAGCAAGUGGAUUGAAUCCAUCUGUGCGGACCUGUGAGUGUUAUCCACUCAAAUGCGUUGGUUUUCUCUGGGUACUCCAGUUUCCUUCCACAUGGAGCAAAACACUAAUACAUGAAAGGAUAUGAUUAUAACACAUGUAUAUCAUACCACAUGUAUAUUAUCUUAUUUAUCUUUAGGCCAACUUUGCAGCUACCUUUGUAAAGAUAUUUUAUAAUUUCCUGUAGUUGAUUAGCAUUGCUCAUUAUAUUGACUAUGUUGUUAAUUAAUCUGAAAUACAACAAUUAAUACUUUCACCGUUUGUCUUUCUGCCUUGAUUUCGCUAAUUACAUUUUCAGAAAAUAUAUUCGAGUGUCACUAGGAGAAAUUAACUUGAUAAUGAAACGUAACUUACCAAUGCCCCUAAACAAGAUAGUUUUAACCGGUGCAAACUACCUCCCCGAGACAUGCGAAUGAAUAAUGGACAUUAACAAAGUAAAUGAAACAAAGGUAAAAAAAGUGUGCACGGCAUGAUGAGAUGCUUGGAAUUUACAUUGAGAGCUAUAAAGGGGAAGACGUGGAUUAUGGGACAUAAGCAGAUUAAAGACAUAGUUCAAACUGUUAAUAAAACUGAGUGUGCUUGCAUGAGACAUGUCAACUCGAAAGCAUGAUGGCCAGCGAUCAAGAUUAAUAAUGGAGUGGCAGCCAAGGAGUUGAAUACGUCCAGCAAGGAGGCAAAGUGAUGAAAUCAACUCGUGCGCAGGUCUUAGGGUGGAUUAAUACAUCACGGAUUGUGAGAGAUGGUAACGGCUUGGAGAGACUUCUAUCCAGCAGUGGAUUGAUCACGGCAGAUAAUGAUGAUUUUAUAAUGAUCGGAAUUAUUGAGCAUCUGUUUCUUUUGUAGCUAUCUUUCUAGGCGAGCUUCAUAUGAAACUUACUCUUGGUGAUGUGGAAUAACCCAUUAGUAUUGAAACAUUUCAAUGACCUCUCUUAUUAAUAGAGGAGCGUAGUCAUGCUUUGUGCGAGUGCGUCACCUGGUGUGCUUUAUACACGUCCAUUGCUCUGUUUAUACACAGGCGAAUAAAAGCUCGGGAAAUGCACUCUGUUCAUCUCAUGUGACUGGUAUUUGUUCGCAGAAAGUAUUUUUUUGAAAAAUUAAUGUGAAAAUUGCACAUAUAUAGGUACAAUUGACUUCUGUUGCAUGCGUUCAUUCUCACGCAAAUGAUAUAUUUGGCAUCAAUUAUAAAAUAGCAACUAAUAAUCAGGCUAGCAUGUGCAAUGCUUAAAAAAAAUUUUUAUACUCUACCGUACUCACCACGACAUAUUGAUGUUUUUUUUCUGACACGGCCUAGCGGCAGCGCACUCGCUGCUUGUUUACAGAGGUUCCCGGUUCGACUCCAGCGGCCGCCACUGGUUAUUACUGUGCUUUUGUGUGUUAACGGUGAGAAUACUCGCCGUCUGCUUUACAGUGGACAAUAAAGAUCCCGUGACGUCGUUCGCAAGACGAGGCCAUUGUUUUUGCCGGCGUCACGGUCCAAAAUAUAUAUUUUUUAAAUUACACCGCAGAUCACUCAGUUGGGAUACACGUAGCAAAAGUCACUGCCGACUGUUCAAAACCCUGGUAGGACCCUCCUGAUAAAGAGUUAUGAGUUAUGAAAAAGAGUUACAAGACUCGGCGAGGCUUUCCUUGGUAAACAAGUGUUAUAAUAACAAAAACAUUAUGACUGCCUUUUCACACUUCCUUACCUUCAUCACUACAUUUUUGUUUGUCGUUCCAAUUAUUUAUUUUCGACAUAAUCGGAGACGCAUACAAUGAUGGCAGUGCAUUGGGUGCAGUAAUCAGGAAACAAUUGCAGUGUUCUCGCAGCAGACUUUGACAUUUUACCUGAUUGAAAAUUGUAUGUUUCAGUCUGAUGUAGCAUAAUCCCACAUAGAAUUGCAAUCAUCACUGCGGAUAUACUGAGGCAAGCCGUGCGGGUGCACUAGCGAGCUAUGUAAGAAUUAUUCAUUAUCACACAUCCUGGAUAGGUGAUAAUUGGGAUAUGACAAAGCAGACUAAUUAACGACGAGCCUUUAAUGUUUUCCUGCUGAUUGGGGAUGAAUGCUGGUGUUAGUCACCUACUAAUUGGUGAGGAAUAUUGGAACUCGCUUUUACAAACAUGCCUAAGGACUGUCCUUUAUUUUGUGACCUUUAAAAUUAAACCACUAAAAUUAUUCAUUUUAUAGUUUUUAUGUAUGUCAGUAAUUGGUAAAAAAAUGUCUUAACGUGUUAGCUGUAAGUUUUUUCUUUACUUUUUAAAUAUUUUAUGAGAAAAUUGUCUCCAGCUGUGUUCUCAACAUCAUGUCACAAGAUGAAGAAAUGUCGAUGCGGAACUCUUGCGGAGCAAAUGCAUCAACAUGCUUUUGAGAUAGGACUACAGAAGGAGAUAUCACAAUAGGGGGCAUUUCGAGCAAUAAUCCAUCUUCAUAGCAUGUAAAUUGCAUUUUGUUAUAUUUUAUCUUUCCUUUUAAGGCAGUGUUAAUGAUUAAUGCGUCGAGUGUUAUGUUAUUUGUGCUUGUGCACCAGUGCCAAUACAUUAUCACCAAAUAGUUUGUUAUUAUGGUAUAGUGUGCUGCACUCUCACGUGUGCCCAGUUACAGAGUUGUUCGUCACUUGGGUCUUACUUCUUAGAGUGGAGUGAGACCAUCGACUCUCUCCACUCAACGACCCAGUUUCAUUACGAGUGGCUGCCUGGAUUCGAACCCAGGUUUCUCAGUGGUGUCGGCUCAUUGUUCUGAUCAGCUGAGUCACCCGGCCAACUAGAUUGCAUGUUUUUGUUAGUUUGAUUUAUAUCAUUCUGUAAGCAUAAUCAAUCCCAUUCAAAAGUUAUUUUGACCUUAAGUUUUUGCAUAUCUGUAGUUUUGGAUGAUCAGGAUGAAUCCAUGAUACUCAUUGCACAUGAGGUAAUCCAUCCAAAGAGGUAAACUUCACAUCUCAUUUGUCUGCCUCAGAACUUUUUAUUUAAUUCGUAAAUGUACUCAUUUAUUAGACCAGACUUUAAAACACUGAAUCAUAUAUUUUUCAAAAUGCUGCACUGGCAACACAUUUUGACGAGUGGUAGACUGUCAGAAACGCUCUGAUGCGAUUAAACAUUUGUGUUCUUCUCUUAACAGUUGACCCACUCUUCAUCCGGGAGUUUAAAACAAAAAAUCGACAAAAUAUAUAAUUUAAACAGUGGCCAACGGGUGAAGUGGUCACGUGGCUGACAUGGCCAGGACGUAGCGGUCUACAAGUUGCAGGGUUUUCCAAACUUCAUGAUGCCCGACUAAAAUAAUUGGGAGACAUUCGAGGAAAGACAACAUUGUAUUUUAGUGCCUCUGAACAUCCCCCCACCAAUCUUCAGUACGCAUUGGUAAGUAUUUCUAUACGCUCUUCUACCUAAGGUAUGGAGCCAUUGCUUUUGCAAUGUUAAAUCAGCUGUUGCAAAGAAAGAGGAUCGUUAGAAAUGUGUGGGGUAUCUAUAAAAGAAUCACACUGUUGAUGUUUUGCACUGAGAAUGUGAUGGGAAUGCCUCAUACCCUGGGAUGUGAUACAGUAUUUACAUUUCGAUUUAAAGCUUUCGUGGCUGCAGGGAUUCAUAUUCUUGGUUCUUUCGGUAAAGUCACGUA